AAAUGUUAGAUACGUAAAUGAGAAAAGGAGUGAGAGAAAAGAUAGAGAAAAGAUUGCAACAAUAAUGAAUUGGAAUAGUUUUUUUUUAGAGGAAGAAGAUGAUCAUUGGAAAUAUUUUGGAAGCAUAUUUCUACACGAUUUUUACAGUUCGUUUUUGGGAGGGACAUUUUUAUAAUGACAAAAUUGACAUUUUAUUUAUCUUCUAUUAAAAAUAAACAGUGAACUAACGAUAACAAAUAAGAGGGACGAAUAUGAACAUCGCUGAAUUUUUGAAAGGAUAAAUCUGAAAACUUUGAACUUUGUAGG
rnacentral:lncRNA from 1 species